rnacentral:rRNA from 1 species
CCUGAUUGAUUCUGUCUGCGCUAUACGCUCAGUUUAAAGAUUAAGCCAUGCAUGUCGAGCUCAUCUAAGGAGAAACUGCGACGGCCCGGUAGAGCAAAUGUCACUUAUUCGGAAAGUCCUUUUGGAUAACUGUGGCAAUUCUGGAGCUAAUACAUGCGAAUAAACUCUGACUUUCGAAAGGGUGCAAUUAUUAGAGCAAAUCAAUCAUCUUCGGAUGUAGUUCGCUGGCUCUAAAUAAUGCUGCAUAUCAGCGGCUUGUCCGCCGAUAUUUCGAAAAAGUGUCUGCCCAACCAAUGAUGGUAGUCUAUUAGUCUACCAUGGUUAUUACGGGUAACGGAGAAUAAGGGUUUUGACUCCGGAGAGGGAGCCUUAGAAGCGGCUACCACAUCCAAGGAAGGCAGCAAGCGCGUAGCUUAUCCACUCUUGAAGAGAUGAGAUAGUGACUAAAAAUAAAAUGACCAUUCCUAUGGGGCGAUCAUUUCAAUGAGUUGAUCAUAAAGCUUUUUUCGAGGAUCAAGUGGAGGGCAGGUCUGGUGCCAGCAGCCGCAAUAAUUCCAGCUCCACUAGUGUAACUCGUCAUUGCUGCGGUCAAAAAGCUUGUAGCUGAAUUUGAGUCACUUGCAGUGGUUCGCCUUUGGCGGUAAUCGCUGUUGUGACUAUUUUUUGUUUUUCUACUAAGGUUUCGGCCUUUGUGGUGGCUAGCGAGUUUACUCUGAAUAAAUUAGAGUGCUCAGAAAAGGCGUUUGCCUGAAUGCUCGAUCAUGGAAUAAUAAUGAAAGAGCACCUCGGUUUCAUUUAUCGGUUCAGGAACUGAAAUAAUGGUUAAGAGGGACAAUUGAGGGGCACUCGUAUCCCUGCGCGAGAGGUGAAAUUCGUGAACCGCAGGGGAACACCCUAAAGCGAAAGCAUUUGCCAAGAAUGUAUUCAUUAAUCAAGAACGAAAGUCAGAGGUUUCAAGGCGAUUAGAUACCGCCCUAGCUCUGACCGUAAACUAUGCCAUCCAGCGAUCCGAUGGGGUAUUGUUGCCUUGUCGAGGAGCUUCCCGGACACGAAAGUCUUUCGGUUCCUGGGGUAGUAUGGUUGCAAAGCUGAAACUUAAAGAAACUGACCGAAUAGAAUCACCAGGAGCGGAGCCUGCGGCCUAAUUUGACUCAACACGGGAAAACUCACGUGGAUCGGACACCGUAAGGAUUGACAGACUGGAAGCUCUUUCUCGAUUUGGUGGUUGGUGGCGCAUGACGGUGCAUGACAAAGAGACGCAGGGAUGCGAAGUGCCGGUUUUCAAAAAGUCCUUCAGAGGACUUUUUGGCUCCCGGUUGUAGGAAGACUAUAGCCAACUAGGAAGAGGGUUGGACGUGACCAGGUCAGUUGGCGUGCUUCGUGUUUGCCUGGCUGUAAAGCACAAGUCGGUAGCUAACCC